rnacentral:lncRNA from 1 species
AGGAUGUGUAGUUUUUUAAAACAAAUUCUGAUAGGUUGAAGGAUCCUGGUAAUCUGAAACACGAACUCUUUUCAGCCGCUACCUAAACCGUAACAGCUGCUAAACCUUGACCUUCAGCCCAUGCUUUGCCUCGAUCUUUCUAAUAGAUCCAGUCAUCUCCUGAUCAGCUCCUUCAUUCAGUUCUCCACUCAACAAACUUAGCUCGUGUCCAAACCCGGCACCUGAUGUCCGGGUUUGGGGUGAAGAGACAGAAAAAAGUGAUGCAGGGGCGACGCUCUGCCACCACUACGGAGGUCACUGCUCGCUUGGCCCAUCCUUCGAAUGGGGGGGUGGGUCACUUGUCCUUAAAGGCCCCACAUUGCCCCACUGCCAAGUCUGCCGCUCUGUGACCUGUGCCGUCCUAGGAAUCGUUAAGUGGGACGCCGGGGGACCCAGGAAACCUAGAAAUGGGGAGAGUUCGGGCGGUGUCGGAGAUCCGGGAGGAGGGGCUGGUUGAAUUCGGCUGGGCCCGCGGUGGCGGGACCCGGCCUCCCCGCGGUCCGCUCCGCACUCCGUGGACCCAGGGACCAGGAACCAUCAUACACAGGAUGUGUUUUGAAAUAAGCAAAACCCGAGUUUGGAUUCCCUGGGGAGGCGUGAUCUCUGGAGGGACACCUAGGACUCCAUGUCGCAUGUGCCAAUAGUAACCUUUUUACUGCAAUCACAUCUUACCUCCAUUUUUAAAAAGUCUAAAAAAGAAAAUCUGAACCCAUAGCAUUUCUACUCUUCAGGUAUGAUUUUCGUCAUGAUUCUUAACAACUGGAUUUUAAGCAUCUUUUUGAUUUUGGUUACUCUGAUGGGGGCAAUGAGAAUUUAAAUUCGCUGUUCUUCCGGAUAACUACUGAGUGUCAGUAUUCAUCCACUUGUUAAUUUGUAUUUCUUUUAGAAAUUGUCUGGAGAGCCCUCUUUUUUCUUUAACUGUUCUCCCUAGGUGGCAUCAUCCCUUCUUAGCGCUUCUAAAGACACCUUUGUGCUGGUGGCUCAAAAUUCGUCUCCAGCCUGAUCUGUUCUGGACCAUCAGUCUUCUGCAUGCAGCAUCUAACGGGAGCAUCCUCUUGCCUUGCUGAGUGGAAUCGCCAGAUUCAUGGAUCCAAAACAGAAAUCCCGUGACAUGCUACGACACGGAUGAAGCUUGAGGAUAUUAUGCUAAGCAAAAUAAGUGAGUCACAGAAGAACGAAUAUUGAUGAUUCCACUCAUAUGAA